AAUGAACGCUGGCGGCGUGCUUAACACAUGCAAGUUGGACGAGAAAGGCUGAUUUCGGUUGGCCGAGUAAAGUAGCGCACGGGUGAGUAACGCGUAGGCAACCUACCCUUGUAUUGGGGAUAACCCCGCGAAAGCGGGGCUAAUACCGGAUACGAUCCCGGGAUGGUGGUUUCGGGAGGAAAGUCAGCCACUCGGAGAAGCUGACGUACGAGGAUGGUCCGGCGUCCUAUCAGCGAGUUGGUGGGGUAGCGGCCCACCAAGGCGACGACGGGUAGCUGGGCUGAGAGGAUGAUCAGCCACACUGGCACUGGAACACGGGCCAGCCGCCUACGGGAGGCAGCAGUGAGGAAUUUUGCGCAAUGGCCGCAAGGCUGACGCAGCAACGCCGCGUGGGUGAUGAAGGCCUUCGGGUCGUAAAGCCCUGUCAGGUGGGAAGAAAGGCUUGAUUGGGAAUACCGGUUGAGUUUGACGGUACCACCAGAGGAAGCACCGGCUAACUCCGUGCCAGCCGCCGCGGUAACAC
rnacentral:rRNA from 1 species